rnacentral:rRNA from 1 species
GACGAACGCUGGCGGCGUGCUUAACACAUGCAAGUCGAACGGUAAGGCCCUUCGGGGUACACGAGUGGCGAACGGGUGAGUAACACGUGGGUGAUCUGCCCUGCACUCCGGGAUAAGCCUGGGAAACUGGGUCUAAUACCGGAUAGGACCACGGCCUGCAUGGGGGGUGGUGGAAAGCUGUUGCGGUGUGGGAUGGGCCCGCGGCCUAUCAGCUUGUUGGUGGGGUGAUGGCCUACCAGGGCGACGACGGGUAGCCGGCCUGAGGGGGUGACCGGCCACACUGGGACUGAGAUACGGCCCAGACUCCUACGGGAGGCAGCAGUGGGGAAUAUUGCACAAUGGGCGCAAGCCUGAUGCAGCGACGCCGCGUGAGGGAUGACGGCCUUCGGGUUGUAAACCUCUUUCAGCACCGACGAAGCGCAAGUGACGGUAGGUGCAGAAGAAGGACCGGCCAACUACGUGCCAGCCGCCGCCGUAA